UACCCAUGGAAAAAUAAAGCACUGGAAAAUUUUCUGGAAAAUUUCAGAACAAAAACUUGGGUGAAUGGGUCUGCUCUUUUUUACUAAGAAGAAAGUCUUUAAAAACAUUCUGCACCAAAAUCAAAGCCAAAGCAACUAAUUUAAUCAAUUUCACCAGGAGGUCUAAUGAAGGCAAGUGCAUCAUCUUCUAUCCUGAAGCAUUUCUUACUGGAAUGAUACUUCAUUGUCUAUCAAACAGUAUGCCUACACAUUCAACUUGUUGUGAAUUUUUGUGCCUAUGUUGUCCUUUGCAACAAUGCUGCAUGAUUACUGCAUGCACAUCUAAUAUUUGUUUCACAAUCAAGACAUUGUUGCCUUGUAUCUUUGUAGCUCCACAGCCUGAUUAUGUUUGUUUGGCAAUAAACACUCAGCAUUUUGAUCAGCUAUCCCAUGGUGCAUUCUAUUGCUGUUAUAAAUGCUUUCUCUUAUUUUUUUGCACUCUGGUGUUCUGAGAUAUCUAUCAGAAGUUAAUGGGAUUAUGGGGACAAACGGAUCAAUUUCCAUGAUUCCUCUUGUUUCGUUUUGUUGUCUCUUUGAUUUUUAUGAGCCAGUAUCAUUUUGAAAGUACUGUCAGGUGUGAGAAAAGUAGGCUUUAUGUAAGACAUUUAUUAUUACUGCAGUUGAUUCUUGUGUAUUUCAGUGAAAUGAUUUACUUACACCUAAUACAUGUGAAUUAUCAGUUAUAUUUCACCUUAAUUUUUGUCAUAUUUGUAAUGUAGUGCCUUUCAGUGGAAUGUUUGUCUUCAUUAUGUGGCUCUGGAUUUAGGACAGUAAUACUUCAGUUCAGAAGAGGUCUGAUACUGAGGACUAAGAAAGAAGAUAAAAUUGAUGUAUUACUGUGUAUUAUUUUAAAGGGAAAUUUUGUUAGUAUUUAAAAAAAAAAAAAAAAAAAAAAGCAGUAAGUUUGUAUAGGAUUAUUAGGAGGCCAUUUGUCCUUGGAAAGUUAUGUGCCAUUUCAUCAUCUGGUGUUGUCCUCUGCCCCUUUUUUACAUUACUUUUGUGUACAGUAAAAUAGUGGUAUACAGUACACAUGA